UGUUCAGAGUUACACGGGCAGGAUGACUUCUCAGACCACCUGAUGUGCAGGCUUCUGGGAAAAUCUCUGCGAAGAAGAGAUAGCCUGGAGUGGGCCAGGUGUCAUUUUUAUAACCAAAUUCCCAAGAUACAAUUCUGGGUAUGCUGUUUACCUUUUUCUUCACCAGUAAUUUACUGACAUUUACCAGUCGCUUGCAAGUCAAUGCCUGCUCUGGAGAAAUAGUAAUAAAGAAAUUUCUUACUUUCACAGAGCUUAUAAUCUCAUGAAAUGGCCAACCAAUCAUCCAACUAACAAACAAAAUAUCAAAAUAAGUGUCCAAUAAAGAAAAUAAUGGACACAUUAGUGCUUUGAUGAUAAUAACAGGUUGAGGGAAUAGAGACUGGGUUUCAGACUUAGGUUGUUUUCAGAGAAGGCCUCUCUGGGGAGAACUUUACAUGGGAGCUAAAUGACAGGAAGCAAGCAGCACAGACACCAGAGGGAAGAAAAUUCUAGGAAUGGAGGACAAUGGGGACAUAAAACAUGAGUGAAGAAAGGGCCUGGCUUGUUCAAGGACGAGAAACACCGAUAUAGCUAUAAGAUCUGAGUAAAAAGGAGACUAGAAAAGAUGAGACCAGUCAGUGUCCAGAAUCUACUGGAUCCAGUCAGCAUCUACUGUCUUGUAGAUUUGAGUACAUUUUUUUAAUACAAAGAAAAACCGUUGGAUGAUUUUAAGUGCUUCAUCUGAUUUAUAUGCUUUUAGAAAGACCCUCCUUAGCCUCUUGGAGGAGAAUGAAUUGUACGGGAGACUGAUGAUCUGAACUGACAGUGGUCAGAAGAGGGGAAAUCAAUGGAUUAAAGAUGUAUUUAGAGUGAUACUACGUGAUGACAGCUUAGCUAUUCAGAGUGAGAAUAAAAGAAGAAUCAAGGAUGUUGACCAGAGUAGCUUGAGUUCUUCUUUUUAAACAUGAACAAACUAACCUAUACUUACACAAUUGUCAGCUAUUGUUAAAAGAGGCAGGCGAGUGUGUAUAGUAUGGAUUUUUUGUGUAACUAUAGGGAAAGAAGAAAAUAUAUAAAUAGAUGUAAUUAUAAUAUAUAAAAUAAUAUAUUUAAUGAUAUUGGAAGCAGAAAAUUGUGGGAUGGCGGAGUAAGUGGUCAGGGAAGAUUUACUGCUGUACCUCUUUUUAUACAUUUUAAAUUUAGAAUCAUAUUACUGAAUUUCUUACUCAAGUAACUGAUAUUAAUUAAUACUUAUAAUUAACUAUAGUUUAUGCAUGUAAGCCACUGAUGUACUUUAACUCAGAAUUUAUAUAAAAUGCCAUUUGUAUGUUUAUUAAAUAAGAGACAGAAAUAUGAAAUAUCAAGAAAUAUGUUUAAAGUAUUUAAAAUGAAAGAAAAUUUUACAACAAUAAAUGUAUGUAGGUUUGUCUGUCUAAUAUGUAAUUAAUAAAAAUGCUAACAGUAAUUACAAGUACUUGUAUUGAGUCUCUAAAAACUGUGG
rnacentral:lncRNA from 1 species